rnacentral:rRNA from 1 species
CCUACGGGUGGCAGCAGUGAGGAAUAUUGGUCAAUGGGCGGGAGCCUGAACCAGCCAAGCCGCGUGAGGGAAGAAGGUACAGCGUAUCGUAAACCUCUUUUGUCAGGGAACAAAGGCGGGGACUAGUCCCCGGCUGAGGGUACCUGAAGUAAAAGCAUCGGCUAACUCCGUGCCAGCAGCCGCGGUCAUACGGAGGAUGCGAGCGUUAUCCGGAUUUAUUGGGGUUAAAGGGUGAGCAGGCGGCCUGUUAAGUCCUCGGUAAAAGUCCGGGGCUCAACCCCGGCGAGCCGUGGAAACUGGCGGGCUGGAGUUGGAGAGAAGUACGCGGAAUGCGCGGUGUAGCGGUGAAAUGCUUAGAUAUCGCGCAGAACCCCGAUUGCGAAGGCAGCGUACCGGCUCCACACUGACGCUGAGGCACGAAAGCGUGGGUAUCGAACAGGAUUAGAUACCCUGGUAGUC